UGGAUUGUGCUGAGAAUGGACUGGAUAGCCUUGGGGUGGCACUGGAUAAUACAGUGGAGGCACCAGAUUAUAUUGUGGUGGUGUCGAGUGAUGCGGUUGGGGCACCGGGCUAUACUGUGGUGGUGCCGGGUAGUACUGUGGCUGGAGCACCAGAUCAUACUGUGGUAGUGCUGGAUAGUACUGUGGAGGAGCAGGAUCGUACUGGGGUGGCUCAACAUGUGGCAGCGGGGGAG
rnacentral:lncRNA from 1 species